rnacentral:rRNA from 1 species
UACGGGAGGCAGCAGUGGGGAAUAUUGCACAAUGGGCGAAAGCCUGAUGCAGCUAUGCCGCGUGUAUGAAGAAGGCCUUAGGGUUGUAAAGUACUUUCAUCGGGGAGGAAAAAACAAAACUAAUAAUUUUAUUUCUUGACGUUACCCGAAAAAGAAGCACCGGCUAACUCCGUGCCAGCAGCCGCAGUAAUACGGAGGGUGCUAGCGUUAAUCAGAAUUACUGGGCGUAAAGAGCACGUAGGUGGUUUUUUUAAGUCAGAUGUGAAAUCCCUGGGCUUAACCUGGAACUGCAUUUUGAAACUGAAAUACUAGAGUAUCGUAGAGGGAGGUAGAAUUCUAGGUGUAGCGGUGAAAUGCGUAGAUAUCUGGAGGAAUACCUGUGGCGAAAGCGGCCUCCUAAACGAAUACUGACACUGAGGUGCGAAAGCGUGGGGAGCAAACAGGGAUUAGAUACC